rnacentral:rRNA from 1 species
GAGUUUGAUUCUGGCUCAGAACGAACGCUGGCGGCGCGUCUUAAGCAUGCAAGUCGAACGGCAAGAGAGAAGCUUGCUUCUCUCCUAGAGUGGCGGACUGGUGAGGAACGCGUGGGUAAUCUGCCCUUAAGAUGGGGAUAGCCGUUAGAAAUAGCGGGUAAUACCGAAUACACUCACUUUCACACAAGAGGAAGUGAGGAAAGGAAGCUAAGGCUUCGCUUAAGGAUGAGCCUGCGUCCCAUUAGCUUGUUGGUAAUGGUAACGGCUUACCAAGGCGACGAUGGGUAUCCGGCCUGAGAGGGUGAACGGACACAUUGGGACUGAGAUACGGCCCAAACUCCUACGGGAGGCAGCAGCUAAGAAUAUUCCGCAAUGGACGGAAGUCUGACGGAGCGACGCCGCGUGGAUGAAGAAGGCUGAAAAGUUGUAAAAUCCUUUUGCCGAUGAAGAAUAAUGAUAAGAGGGAAUGCUUAUCAGAUGA